GAUGAACGCUGGCGGCGUGCCUAACACAUGCAAGUCGAGCGAGAAGUAAAUGACAGAGGACUUCGGUCUGAAGACAUUUAUGGAAAGCGGCGGACGGGUGAGUAACGCGUGGGCAACCUGCCCUAUACAUGGGGAUAGCCACUAGAAAUGGCGAUUAAUACCUGGUAGGCAUAGAACAGGCAUCUGCUUUAUGAGAAAGAUUUAUUGGUAUAGGAUGGGCCCGCGUCUGAUUAGCUAGUUGGUGGGGUAAAGGCCUACCAAGGCAGUGAUCAGUAGCCGACCUAAGAGGGUGAACGGCCACACUGGAACUGAGAGACGGUCCAGACUCCUACGGGAGGCAGCAGUGGGGGAUAUUGCACAAUGGGGGAAACCCUGAUGCAGCAACGCCGCGUGAGUGAUGAAAUUUUUCGAAAUGUAAAGCUCUGUCCUAUGGGAAGAAAAAAAUGACGGUACCAUAGGAGGAAGCCCCGGCUAACUACGUGCCAGCAGCCGCGGUAAUACGUAGGGGGCAAGCGUUAUCCGGAAUCAUUGGGCGUAAAGCGUGCGUAGGCGGCUAGGAAGGUCAGAGGUGAAAGGCAUGGGCUUAACCUGUGUAAGCCUUUGAAACCGACUAGCUUGAGUACAGGAGGGGAAAGUGGAAUUUCUAGUGUAGCGGUGAAAUGCGUAGAUAUUAGAAAGAACACCAGUGGCGAAGGCGACUUUCUGGACUGAAACUGACGCUAAGGCACGAAAGCGUGGGUAGCGAACAGGAUUAGAUACCCUGGUAGUCCACGCUGUAAACGAUGAUUACUAGGUGUCAGCUAGAGAUAGUUGGUGCCGGCGCAAACGCAAUAAGUAAUCCGCCCUGGGGAGUACGGUCGCAAGACUAAAACUCAAAGGAAUUGACGGGGACCCGCCACAAGCAGCGGAGCAUGUUGUUUAAUUCGAUGCAACGCGAAGAACCUUACCAAAUCUUGACAUGCUCUAUGCUAUUAAGUGUAAAGCUUAAGUUAUCUUCGGAUACAUAGGAGACAGGUGGUGCAUGGUUGUCGUCAGCUCGUGUCGUGAGAUGUUGGGUUAAGUCCCGCAACGAGCGCAACCCUUGUCUUUAGUUGCCAUCAGGUAGAGCUGGGCACUCUAGAGAGACUGCCGGAGACAAUUCGGAGGAAGGUGGGGACGAUGUCAAAUCAUCAUGCCCUUUAUGAUUUGGGCUACAAACGUGCUACAAUGGUCGGUACAGAGGGAAGCGAAGCAGUAAUGUGGAGCAAAACCAAAAAGCCGAUCUCAGUUCGGAUUGAGGGCUGCAACUCGCCCUCAUGAAGUUGGAGUUGCUAGUAAUCGCGAAUCAGAAUGUCGCGGUGAAUGCGUUCCCGGGUCU
rnacentral:rRNA from 1 species